AGAAAAACAAAUACUAAAAACAUAUUAUUAAUAUGGUUUGGUCAAACGACCUACAUAUUAAAAAUAAUAUUGAAAAAAAAAAACUUAAAAUCCUAUUGGGAGAAAAUCUCUUCCUAAACGAAAAUCUUAAAAGACUACAUUGUAAAUGUUAUUCUGUUAUGGUAUGAGAAGGGGGUCUUCUAUUUAUAGAUGUCCAAAACCUUUUCUCCAAGAAAGAGAUUAGCCAAAUAUAGAAAAGAAUUAUAUUUUUCUUUCAGGAAAAGUAAAAGUAAUUAUGGUAACUUUUAUUUUUCUUUUAAGAAAAAGUAAAACUUAAAUAUAGUAAGAAAAUCAGGGCGAAAACUCUAACAAAUCUCCUUUUUUUUGCUUGAUUUUCUUCAAUUGAUCCGUCUUAUUCAUAUCUUUGAUCUUUGUUCUUCACAUAAUCUUCAUCACUGUUACUUGUCAUAUUUAAAAAUGGAGCUUUUGGGUUAAAAAAUAUAUGAGCCCAUUCAGAUUGAAAAUCUUGGAGCUCUUUGUAGAGUUAAAAGAAAGCUUUAUUUUCAAAUAUGUGACAGCAGGAUUGUUGAAAAUAUGAUUGACAAUCGUCUCCACGUGUAGCUUUUUGACAAAAAUCUUCAUUAUCAUCCAAAUUAUUGUAGUUUGAUUUUGAAACCGCUUUAAACCUAUUUAAUCUCGUCUCACCACACCAUUGGACUAUUGAACCAUAAGCUUUGAUACCACUUGUUCGGUUCGAAAUCGAGAGGGCAUCAUGCGGAAGCUUAAAGUUUGCAAACAAUAGGACGGUAAUUCAGAUGACCAAGAAAAACAAAUACUAAAAAUAUAUUAUUAAUAUGGUUUGGUCAAACGACCUACAUAUUAAAAAUAAUAUUGAAAAAAAAAAACUUAAAAUCCUAUUGGGAGAAAAUCUCCCCCUAAACGAAGAUGUUAAAAGACUAUAUUGUGAAU
rnacentral:lncRNA from 1 species